rnacentral:rRNA from 1 species
CAGCGCCGCGAGUGGCAAUCACAUUUAUUGGGCCUAAAGCGUCCGUAGCCGGUUUGAUAAAUCCUUUGUGAAAUCGCUAAGCUUAACUUAGCGGCGUGCAAGGGACACUGUCAAACUUGGGACCGGAAGGGGUCAGAGGUAUUCUAGGGGGAGCGGUAAAAUGUUAUAAUCCCUGGAAGACCGCCGGUGGCGAAGGCGUCUGACCAGUACGGAUCCGACGGUGAGGGACGAAAGCUAGGGGAGCGAAUCGGAUUAGAGACCCGUGUAGUCC